rnacentral:misc_RNA from 1 species
UUGAGCAGCGACGCCCGUCCGUGCACGCCCCAUCACUCGUCGGCCCGAGUGCGACUUCUUCUCGGCCGUGUGCGGGUUUCCUGUGUUGCGUGCCUACUUAAAUGGAAUUCGGUUGUCCCAAUGUCAGCAUGUCCGCCUUGCGCUGUCCCUUCGGGGUGUGGCGUGGGGUGGACCUCGAAGCGUCGUCCGCGUUCCGGGUCGCUCACGUUACGUGCUGCUCUCCCGGCCCGUGGACCGUCGCUCGGGCUCUCGGAUGCGGAAUACCCGGAGGGUGCGGGGUCGUCUCGUCGACCCCCGUUUGCCCGAAAUCAAUUGUGUUGCCGAACGACUGUCGUCGUUCUGUUGAGGCGUCGGAUCUCCGCAUCCGUCGUCCUCUCGGGACGUCGGCGUCCGCGAGGAAUGCUA